AGUCUAAACAUUAACACAUCCAUCCAAUCUUCUUCUCCUUAUUUCUCUCUCUCUCUUAUUUAUUAUUAUUAUUUUUUGUCUGUCAGCACCAAGUCGAUGAGAGAUGAUGGAGGAAUUAAUGUGAUUAAGAAAGCCAUCGAGAAGCUAGGCUUGCGACACAGGAACACAUUUCUGCAUAUGGAGAGGGUAAUGAAAGAAGAUUGACGGGUCGUCAUGAAACUGCAGAUAUCCUCACAUUUUCUUGGGUAAAGAUAUUGGCCGGAGUAGUGUUUGGUUCAAAAUAAUGUGAUAUUGGCUACUAUUCAUGGUGGUCCACACUUGGUGAACAACCCAAAAAUGAGCCCUUCGUUGAUGAUAUUCCACAGUUUGAGGUCCCUAUUGCUGUGAUCCAUCCUGUUCCAAGUCCGGUAAGAAAUGAAAGGAUAUGAAGAUAUCAAGUGAAGAGGAAUGCCGGAGCUUGUGCUGAGGCUACAAUGCCAGAGCUGCAAACAUUUAUCCCAAUGUCCAAUCAAGAGUCCUCUAGUGGUGGUUCGCCCUCAAAUAAUUAUAGAAGCCGCACAGGAGAAGUUAUCGGUAUAGCUGUUGGAUGUGCAAACAGACUCACCAAGAUUUGUAUUU